CUCACAUUAAAAAGGGUUUCUCAUGGUGAGAAUUGUUCUCUUUUUGUCACACAAAAGAGCGGCCUAUAUGGUUAGGCAUCCCAUAGAGAUUAGGUCAUACCUUUUUACAUAAGAUCUAAUCCUUAUCACAUAGGGAUUCAAAAUUUAAAUAGAAACCACCUAACCAUUAUCCAAAUAUGGCAUUGAGAAAGAAGGGGCGAUAAGGGGUGUGCGUGAAUGAUUUUCAGCAUGAAAGAUUUCACACUAAAACAAAGAGGGCACAGCUUCAUAUUGGCAUGCACACAAAGGG
rnacentral:lncRNA from 1 species